GAGUUUUGGCUCAACUGGUAAGAGGGUUGACUUGUGGGCAAUAGGUCCGGGGUUCGACCCCCGUAAGGGUCA